rnacentral:rRNA from 1 species
GACAGAGGGUGCAAACGUUGUUCGGAAUCACUGGGUGUAAAGCGCGUGUAGGCGGCCUGCCAAGUCUGCUGUGAAAGCGCCUGGCUCAACCAGGCGAGGUCGGUGGAAACUGGCGGGCUGGAGGCCGGUAGAGGGGGGUGGAAUUCCCGGUGUAGUGGUGUAAUGCGUAGAGAUCGGGAGGAACACCAGUGGCGAAGGCGGCCCCCUGGGCCGGGCCUGACGCUGAGACGCGAAAGCGCGGGGAGCAAACGGG